UCUUUUAUUUAUCCAUGAUUUCCAAGAGAUCUAGCUUUCUGCUCUCCUGCUUUUCCCCCUCAUCCACCCCUUCCUUUCUUUGUAAGGGGGUUAUAUAUGAGAGUUUGUUGAAGAAGUCCAGUGAGGCUGAUGUUAAGAAAGGGUGGUUAACUAAAGAGCACUUUAUUUCUUUGAAGUUUUUUGUAAGAAAUGGGGGUAUGAGUGGCUUGAAUCCCCCAUUGUGUUGGAGGGCAGUUAGUGGGGUUGAAGUAUGACAUAAUAUUUCCCAUUGGGGAAAGGAUAAUUUCUCUUAGAGGGUGGUAAAAUGCCUUUGCCCUGUGUCCUCUUCCUUAUUCCUUCCAAUCAGGGUGCCUCCUACACACAACUUCCCAUUUGUUCUCCUCAAGAUUUCCCCUCUACAAAUCAUCACUUCUCUUUUCUAAACUCCUUUUCUACUCAGAUCCAUACAGGAUUUGCAAAGGUAGACUAAAUCAUACAUGUAAAUGUUCCUUUUUGUAAUUCCAUGUCUUCUGAAAACUAGUCUCGUUAAGAACCCUGGUGGGAGUCAGAGUAACUGAAGUUUGGGGCUAGAGCUGGAGAUUGGCUAUCAGACCUUCUGGGAUUUUAGCUCCCCUCCACUAAACUCAGCUUUGGUAAACGGCACAGCACAAACCUGACCUUCUUUGGGCCUCAGUUUCCCCUCCCUUCCAUGAAAUGGAAAGAAAACUACUUUUUCUUGUUGGUCCAGCAUUGUUGGACUUGAAGUAUAGUCAUUGUUGUUGUAUUGGGUGAUGUGUGCAAAACUGCAGGAGCUCACUGCCUACAAGAGGAAAUAGGGAGGAAGUGGAGGAGAGGGACAGAAGGAGCAAUUAUUUGGUAUAGAUCCACCCAUCCCUGCCUUCCUCUCUUCAACCCCCAUGUUUCUGGUUUGGUGAGUCCUUCAUACCACCCAUAAUGCUUUGCAUUGGUGCAGGCUGGGAAGGGGGUGUAUGGUCUCACAAGUUGUUGUUGUUUUUUGCAUGCUUUCUUAAUAAAAAAAAAAGAUGAAUGUUUAUGGUUUUGUCUUA
rnacentral:lncRNA from 1 species